UACGGAAGGUCCGGGCGUUAUCCGGAUUUAUUGGGUUUAAAGGGAGCGCAGGCGGGUUGUUAAGCGUGACGUGAAAUGUAGCCGCUCAACGGCUGAGUUGCGUCGCGAACUGGCGACCUUGAGUGGGUACGACGUGGACGGAAUUCGUGGUGUAGCGGUGAAAUGCUUAGAUAUCACGAAGAACUCCGAUUGCGAAGGCAGUCCUCGAGUCCUCUACUGACGCUAAAGCUCGAAAGUGCGGGUAUCGAAC
rnacentral:rRNA from 1 species